UUUCAAGCCAGGGGGCGUUUUUCUAUAACUGGAUGAAAAGCACCUCCAGAGCUUGAAGCU
rnacentral:pre_miRNA from 1 species